GACGAACGCUGGCGGCGUGCUUAACACAUGCAAGUCGAACGAGACGAUUUAGAAGCUUGCUUUUAUUGAGUCGAGUGGCAAACGGGUGAGUAACGCGUAGGCAACCUGCCCUUUAGUUGGGGACAACAUCCCGAAAGGGGUGCUAAUACCGAAUGUGACAGUUUUUCCGCAUGGGAUUACUGUGAAAGAUGGCCUCUAUUUAUAAGCUAUCGCUAAAGGAUGGGCCUGCGUCUGAUUAGCUAGUUGGUGGGGUAACGGCCUACCAAGGCGACGAUCAGUAGCCGGUCUGAGAGGAUGAACGGCCACAUUGGGACUGAGACACGGCCCAGACUCCUACGGGAGGCAGCAGUGGGGAAUCUUCCGCAAUGGACGAAAGUCUGACGGAGCAACGCCGCGUGAACGAUGACGGCCUCGG
rnacentral:rRNA from 1 species